rnacentral:rRNA from 1 species
UACGUAGGGUCCGAGCGUUGUUCGGAUUCAUUGGGCGUAAAGGGUGUGUAGGUGGCGCGCUAAGUCGGGUGUGAAAUUUCGGAGCUUAACUCCGAAACUGCAUUCGAUACUGGCGUGCUUGAGGACUGGAGAGGAGACUGGAAUUCAUGGUGUAGCAGUGAAAUGCGUAAAGAUCAUGAGGAAGACCAGUGGCGAAGGCGGGUCUCUGGACAGUUCCUGACACUGAGACACGAAGGCCAGGGGAGCAAACGGG